rnacentral:rRNA from 1 species
CGUGAGCAAUCUGCCCAUAUCAGGGGGAUAACAGUUGGAAACGACUGAUAAUACCGCAUAAUAUUGUUGGAAGGCAUCUUCCGACAAUCAAAGAUUUAUCGGAUAUGGAUGAGCUCGCGUCUGAUUAGCUUGUUGGUGAGGUAACGGCUCACCAAGGCGACGAUCAGUAGCCGACCUGAGAGGUUGAACGGCCACAUUGGAACUGAGAGACGGUCCAGACUCCUACGGGAGGCAGCAG